UUGACAAAAGUCACAAUAAUAAGAAUAAUAAUAACACUUCAGCAUUUUCAUAAUUUUUUUUUGCAAUUUUAUUAUCUAGUUUUUGUAUUCGACAUUUUUGUGUAGCACAUGUGUCAAGGAAUUGCAUUUUUAUUUUAUGUUUAUAUCAUUGUGUUAGAUUCUACUUUUUUUUGUGGUGAUGCAGAAGGCAUUUGAAUUCUGUCUCUUUUUCCAAAUUUGAAUUGCAUUCAACCUAAUCUUUUUGAAGUGGUAUGAACAAGGAAUCUGUGAGUUCUUCAAACAUAUCCUUAAAUAAAAGGAAAAAAAAGAGAAGGACAUAAAAGUAUUGAAAUAUAAUUCCAAAUUAAAAAAUCAACAAUUUGUAAUAUCAUUAUAAAAUUAUAAAAUAAAAAAUAGUGAUAUACUAUUUUUAUAUUAUUAUUUUUAAGUUAUAUUUAAUUGUGAUUUUUAUGAAACAUUUUAAAUAAAUUCUGAUAGAAAAUUAUGAUUUGAUGUUUAAGGCCAAUUCUUUUGAUACACUAGUAUUUUUGGAAGAAAAUAAAAAAAAAUACUAAAAAAAUUAAGUUGUGUAUUAUCAAUUAAAUAUUAAUAGGCAUAAUUAUAUCACCAUACACAUGAGAUGAUUUUGAUAUAAAAUAAAAGUUAUGCAAAAUUUUCACAAGUAUUUUUUUUUUAUAUUAAAAUGAAAAUUAUUAAAUGUUAAAAAUAUGAAUAAUUUAUAUAGCUUUAGAAAUCUUGGAUAAAGAAAAAAAGAAAAAAAAGGAUUUUUGAAGUGAAUAACAAUUGUAACAAAUCAAAGAAGUUUAUCAGAUUCAAAUUACAAUCAUUGAAAAAGUAGUAUUGUCACAAAUAUGGUAAGUCAUUUUUAUUAUGUAGCAGUUCACAAACAAUAAAAUAUAUAGUUAUUUAAAAAAAUGGCACUGAUACAAUGAAAAAAUACCAUAUAUAUCCUUCAAAUAUGCUGAAAUAUCUAAAAUAUUCUUCAAAUUUGUGAUCCUAGCAAAUGUACCCUUGUUGAUGAUAAAUUAUCACCAACAUUCCUUGUUUAGUCAUCAUCUAAGGCCUAGACUGUGGGUAGUGCAGAUUUCAUCAUGCCUCUUUUUGGCUUUUUGGAAAUUGCAAAAAAAUUGGUUCUUUUUCUUCUGCUGAUUUGCAAACCACACCUCACAUUGUAGAUUCAUCUACACCAUAAACACUUGAUUAAUGAAAAAAACAACAUGAAUAAAAUUAAGCACCAACCACUUAUUAACCAUACCAUUGUAAUCCCAACUCUUGCUAAUACAAUAUUGGUUAGAUGAUUUAAAAACAUACAUUGUUUUUAUCAAUAUUUUUAUUGACUACAUGAAAGAUAUGUCUGCAAUUCUCUACAAUGAUGCGACAAAUCAUUCCACAUGAAUGGUAGGGCAAGACUCCUUUGAGACUCUGAGUACACUUAAUCUCCAUUCUUACAAUUGAAAGUAUGGUACAACUAUUCAAAUUUACUAUUCAAAAUCAUGUGUAUGGAUGAUGAUAGCAACACUAUCUUUCAACCAAAAAAUAAUCAUAAUUUGAAGAACAAAUUACAACAAUCAAAACACUUCUAUGUUUAUGAUCACAAAUACUUUUAAAAAAAUCCAUCUCCAUUUUGAGCUCUCAAGUUUUUAUCAAAUGAGGUGAGAAUAUGUUUCUUUGCUUGCAAUCGCCUGUAGGGAAGUAUCUCAAUAUUGAAAGGACUCCUUUGCCUCUUAACUGGGAAUUUGGAAUUGGUGACCCGCUCUUCAUGUUAUUGUUAUCAUACUUUCUUGCAAUCAGCAAUAAUCAGGCCAUGCGCAACAAACAUAGGCCAUCUUGGUAGUUGUAAUAACCAAAACCGAUUACGAAUAAAAAGCGAGGAAGAUGCUCU
rnacentral:lncRNA from 1 species